rnacentral:rRNA from 1 species
AUUGAACGCUGGCGGCAUGCCUUACACAUGCAAGUCGAACGGCGGCACGGGUGCUUGCACCUGGUGGCGAGUGGCGGACGGGUGAGGAAUAAAUCGGAACAUGUCCGGUAGUGGGGGAGAGCCCGGCGAAAGCCGGAUUAAUACCGCAUACGAUCUACGGAUGAAAGCGGGAGACCUGCGGGCCUCGCGCUAUCGGGUUGGCCGAUGGCUGGUUAGCUCGUUGGUGGGGUAAAGGCCUACCAAGGCGACUAACAGUAGGUGGUCUGAGAGGACGACCAGCCACACUGGGACUGAGGCACGGCCCAGACUCCUACGGGAGGCAGCAGUGGGGAAUUUUGGACAAUGGGCGAAAGCCUGAUCCAGCAAUGCCGCGUGUGUGAAGAAGGCCUUCGGGUUGUAAAGCACUUUUGUCCGGAAAGAAAUCCUUGGCUCUAACACAGUCGGGGGAUGACGGUACCGGAAGAAUAAGCACCGGCUAACUACGUG